AGAGAGAGACAUGCGCGCAUAUCAAUAAGCGGAGGAAAAGAAACUAACAAGGAUUCCCUUAGUAACGGCGAGUGAAGCGGGAAGAGCUCAAAUUUGAAAUCUUCAAGGUUUUACCUUGACGAAUUGUAGUUUAAAGAAGUGUUUUCUGCUGAAGUUUUGGUAAAAGUUCUUUGGAAUAGGACAUCAUAGAGGGUGAGAAUCCCGUAUUUGACCAUUAUUUCAGCUUUGUGAUACACUUUCAAAGAGUCGGAUUGUUUGGGAAUGCAGUCCAAAAUGGGUGGUAAAUUUCAUCUAAAGCUAAAUAUUGGCGAGAGACCGAUAGCGAACAAGUACCGUGAGGGAAAGAUGAAAAGAACUUUGAAAAGAGAGUUAAACAGUACGUGAAAUUGUCAAAAGGGAAGCGUUUGACACCAGUGUUGUUUUCCUCGAAAAUCAAUUAAAAAUGGCUCGAUUUUGUAUUGUUGAGACCUUAAAAGCUCACUGUACAUUUUUCGUGUCUUUAUUAAUGCACUUUUCGUUUAACAAGUCUACAUCAGUUUCUUUUGUUGUAAAAGGGUCAUUGGAAGGUGGCUUUCUUUUCGGAGAAAGUGUUUAUAGCCUUUGGCCUCUGCAAUCGGAGAGAUUGAGGUCUGCAGCGUAGACUCCUUCGGGGUUAGAUACAUUUGUGCUAAGUUAUAGCCUUUUCAUAGACAACUUGUUGACUAUAAUCAGUCAUGUAGCUUACUCGCUUAUGCUAUUUUACCUACGCUUAGGAUGUUGAAGUCAUCGUAUCGCGC
rnacentral:rRNA from 1 species